rnacentral:rRNA from 1 species
AUACGGAGGAUCCGAGCGUUAUCCGGAUUUAUUGGGUUUAAAGGGUGCGCAGGCGGGAGAUUAAGUCGGCGGUGAAAUUUUGCAGCUCAACUGUAAAAGUGCCUUCGAAACUGGUUUCCUUGAGUGUAGAUGAAGUAGGCGGAAUUUGUGGUGUAGCGGUGAAAUGCAUAGAUAUCACGAGGAACUCCGAUUGCGCAGGCAGCUUACUAAACUACUACUGACGCUCAGGCACGAAGGCGUGGGGAUCAAACAGGAUUAGAUACCCUGGUAGUCCACGCAGUAAACGGUGAUUACUAGCUGUUUGCGAUACAAUGUAAGCGGCUGAGCGAAAGCGUUAAGUAAUCCACCUGGGGAGUACGUUCGCAAGAAUGAAACUCAAAUGAAUUGACGGGG